rnacentral:tRNA from 1 species
GCGGCGGUAGUUCAGUUGGUAGAACGUCUCGUUGCCAACGAGAAGGUCGCCGGUUCGACCCCGGUUCGCCGCU